rnacentral:ncRNA from 1 species
AAGUCUGCCGCACCAAGGGGUCAGAGAAAUUCGCGAGCUGGAACGGAUCGAAAUAUCCGCCGGGGUUCGCCGUCAUCCAGGAAUAGAUGCGGCUCGAACCCAGCCAUUGCAGCAGGAGAUAGCACGCCUCCGGGUUUUUGCUCUGGGCCGAAACGCAGGCCGAAAGGUUCAGCCAGAGCACCGAACGGCUCACAAGCUUACCAUCGACUUCGCGGCCGGGCGA